CUGGGAGCUUUGUAAGCCUGUGGUUUCUCUCCUCCUUGGUAAGUCUAUCCGUCAAUAGGUACUGUGCAGCUCCCACAGUGAAGAUGUGAAAAGAGAGCAGUGACAAAUAUCCUGUGAAAAUGAAACUUUGUCUCCUGUGACCGUGCAGAGCUCCAGCUAUUUUCCUGUGCAAACAGAGAAGGGUGUGGAUGGCAGAACCCAAUUUACCUUGAGAGCUCUACUACUGUCUGGAUUAAAAAGAAAUUGUGACCGUGAAGACUGAAAAAGACAAG
rnacentral:lncRNA from 10 species